rnacentral:rRNA from 1 species
UACGAAGGGGGGCGAGCGUUGUUCGGAAUUACUGGGCGUAAAGCGCACGUAGGCGGAUAUUUAAGUCAGGGGUGAAAUCCCAGAGCUCAACUCUGGAACUGCCUUUGAUACUGGGUAUCUCGAGUAUGGAAGAGGUGAGUGGAAUUCCGAGUGUAGAGGUGAAAUUCGUAGAUAUUCGGAGGAACACCAGUGGCGAAGGCGGCUCACUGGUCCAUUACUGACGCUGAGGUGCGAAAGCGUGGGGAGCAAACAGG